GCAAAAGCUCAAAUUUGAAAUCUGACGUUCAUUCUGACGUUCGAGUUGUAAUUUGGAGGAGCGCCUUCGGGAACAAGACGCCGUUCUAAGUUCUUUUGGAACUGGACAUCACAGAGGGUGAGAAUCCCGUGCGUGGGCGGCAGUCUUGUUUCCAUACGAAGCGUUUCCGACGAGUCGAGUUGUUUGGGAAUGCAGCUCAAAAUGGGUGGUAAAUUUCAUCUAAAGCUAAAUACAGGCGAGAGACCGAUAGCGCACAAGUAGAGUGAUCGAAAGAUGAAAAGCACUUUGAAAAGAGAGUUAAACAGUACGUGAAAUUGUUGAAAGGGAAGCGCUUGAGAUUGAACGCUGGACAGGAUGGAGCUGUUGAGGGCCCUUUGGGCUGUUAAACACCCCUCCAUUCUCCCUCCAACCACCAUCGGUUCUGGCGGCGAGAUAAACGGUUAGGGAAUGUGGCUCCUCUCGGGGAGUGUUUAUUAGACCUUUCCGAUUUUGCGCCAGCUGGGACCGAGGCAAAUUCGCGAGCUUGGACUUUGGUCCAAGACCUCAAGGAUGUGUGGCAUGUCGAUCUUAAGCGACCCG
rnacentral:rRNA from 1 species